rnacentral:lncRNA from 1 species
AUCUAAGAGUUGAAAUAAAUGUGACGUAAAAGGGAGGAGGUGAUCUCCCUCACCAGGAUCGGGGUGCACAUCCAGGAACACACCUUACCCUGGAGCCUGGGGCCUGGCCUCCCUCUGCAGCAACCAGUGAGACAAAGAUGGGCAAGGCUCUGACAAUCCGGGCCAGAGGGUGUAACUUGGGCCAAGAAGUCGUGAUGUGAGUAGGUCACACAGUGUUGAGGGCCAAAACCCUCGACUCCGUUGGGAGUUAAAGGGGAGGAAGUGGACAUUUCCUUUGAACCUAAUAAUAAGCAGGUGAGGUUUUGUAUUCUCAUUUUUCACAGUGCAAGAAAAUUUUGUUUAGAAAUUCUAGUUAAGUCAUUUACCCAAAGCCCUAAAGCCAGUAAACAGCAAGUGGGAAUCAAACCCAAGUCCCUUGACAUGCCAAACCAGCUUCUUUCCACUAGACCACCCCUUCCCCCAUUACUGUAAACUCCAUCUCUCCGCUGCUGUCAGCUCCUUCUUGAUCCGUACAGAAAUAAAAGUUUGCCACCAUUUUGCCUGACCUCCUCCAGAGACUCGCUUCAGGAUCCUAGAGCCAGAUCUGCACCCCACAACUU